rnacentral:rRNA from 1 species
UGAGGAAUAUUGGACAAUGGGGGAAACCCUGAUCCAGCCAUGCCGCGUGAGUGAUGAAGGCCUUCGGGUUGUAAAGCUCUUUCGGUUGUAAAGAUUAUGACGGUAGCAACAGAAGAAGCCCCGGCUAAAUUCGUGCCAGCAGCCGCGGUAAUACGAAUGGGGCAAGCGUUGUUCGGAAUCACUGGGCUUAAAGCGUGCGCAGGCGGCCAAAUAAGUCAGGAGUGAAAUCCCCGGGCUCAACCCGGGAAUUGCUCUUGAAACUGUUUGGCUAGAAUCCCGGAGAGGUUGGCAGAAUUCCGAGUGUAGAGGUGAAAUUCGCAGAUAUUCGGAGGAAUACCAGUGGCGUAAGCGGCCAACUGGACGGGCAUUGACGCUCAGGCACGAAAGCGUGGGGAGCAAA